GAUGAACGCUGGCGGCGUGCCUAAUACAUGCAAGUCGAGCGAACAGACGAGGAGCUUGCUCCUCUGACGUUAGCGGCGGACGGGUGAGUAACACGUGGAUAACCUACCUAUAAGACUGGGAUAACUUCGGGAAACCGGAGCUAAUACCGGAUAAUAUAUUGAACCGCAUGGUUCAAUAGUGAAAGACGGUUUUGCUGUCACUUAUAGAUGGAUCCGCGCCGCAUUAGCUAGUUGGUAAGGUAACGGCCUACCAAGGCAACGAUGCAUAGCCGACCUGAGAGGGUGAUCGGCCACACUGGAACUGAGACACGGUCCAGACUCCUACGGGAGGCAGCAGUAGGGAAUCUUCCGCAAUGGGCGAAAGCUUGACGGAGCAACGCCGCGUGAGUGAUGAAGGUCUUCGGAUCGUAAAACUCUGUUAUUAGGGAAGAACAAAUGUGUAAGUAACUAUGCACGUCUUGACGGUACCUAAUCAGAAAGCCACGGCUAACUACGUG
rnacentral:rRNA from 1 species